rnacentral:rRNA from 1 species
AUUGAACGCUGGCGGCAGGCCUACCACAUGCAAGUCGAGCGAGCGGCGGACGGGUGAGUAAUGUCUGGGAAACUGCCUGAUGGAGGGGGAUAACUACUGGAAACGUUAGCUCAUACCUCAUACCAUCAGAUGUGCCACGAUGGUAUUAGCUAGUCUGUGGGGUACCGGCUCACCUAGGCGACGAUCCCUAGCUGGUCUGAGAGGAUGAACAGCCACACUGGAGCGGAAACACGGUCCAGACUCCUACGGGAGGCAGCAGUGGGGAAUAUUGCACAAUUGGCGAAAGCCUGAUGCAGCCAUGCCGCGUGUGUGAAGAAGGACUUCGGGUUGUAAAGCACUUUCAGCGGGGAGGCGUUACCCGCAGAAGAAGCACCGGCUAACUCCGUGCCAGCAGCCGCGGUAAUUC